CGACCACUCUUUCUUUGCUUAAUUAAUUCCCCUGUUUUCUAUAACGGUAUCGAUGUGAUACGGUUUACCUUUAAGGUUAGGCUACCAGCCUUUGAUUUUGUUCGUUUUCGGCUGCAAACAUCUUGCAAACGGUAUUAUCGUGGCUGUGGGUACCAAGUAGAUUCCCGAGCAGCCAAUCGAUGUGCCAUCGUUUACACGGCCGAACAAUUCGCCGUAAACAAUUGGACUGAACCGUACACUGCCGAUCGUUUUACGAAUGAUGUUUCAUCACGAAAUGAUAUAAUCAGCCAACAUAAAGAAGAACAUGAGACAUUCCUCUUACACAAUUACCGACCGUGACGGCGCACAACGCCAUCAGAUAUUUUCCUCAAUGUUUAUAGAGUUGUUCACAAGGCCAAUUGGUUAGCGAUCGCCAGC